rnacentral:rRNA from 1 species
UACGUAGGGUGCAAGCGUUGUCCGGAAUUAUUGGGCGUAAAGAGCUCGUAGGCGGUCUGUCGCGUCGGCUGUGAAAUCCCGGAGCUCAACUCCGGGUCUGCAGUCGAUACGGGCAGGCUAGAGUUCGGCAGGGGAGACUGGAAUUCCUGGUGUAGCGGUGAAAUGCGCAGAUAUCAGGAGGAACACCGGUGGCGAAGGCGGGUCUCUGGGCCGAUACUGACACUGAGGAGCGAAAGCGUGGGGAGCGAACAGG